CCGACACCUUCUUCCCAGUGCGGCCCGGGCUGCGGCCCCGGGUCCGAGGAGGCCCGGGGAGACCCGGAGGAGGUGGAAACUGAGACCCAGAGAGCCGUGACUUGACUGAUCCCACAGCCAGGAAAUGGUGGAGCCUGGAUUUGAACCCCAGCUUUUAAGAAGAAGGUGCCACUGUCCUGGAAGAACUCUCAGGACAGCAUUAGUGUCUCAGGGAUCCCCCUAAUCGGAGGGGCCUUAAGGCAACCUAAUCAUGAUUGUCACUGAAGAUCCAGGAGGGCUUCCUGGAGGAGGAGGCAGCUCCAUUCUGAAAUGCCAAGGGUACAGCUUUAUUGGGACAGCCAGUGUCUCUGAAUAUGUAGGUUUUGCACAGAGCUUGUACUGCCCCAGGGCCUGUACACUGCCUGUCCCCUCUGCCUUGUGCACUCUUUCCCUAGAUGUCCAAAUGGCUCCUUUCCUCACCUACCCCAAAUCUCAAUUCCAGUGUUUCCCCAGCCUCCCCUCAUUUCAGUAAUCACUCUGCAGUGAGCUAGGAUUGCGCCACUGCACUCCAGCUUGGAUAAGAGAACAAGACCCUGUCUCUUAAC
rnacentral:lncRNA from 1 species